rnacentral:rRNA from 1 species
UACGGGGGGGGCAAGCGUUAAUCGGAAUUACUGGGCGUAAAGCGCACGUAGGUGGUUUGUUAAGUCAGCUGUGAAAUCCCCGGGCUCAACCUGGGCACUGCAGUUGAAACUGGCAAGCUAGAGUAGGGUAGAGGGGUGUGGAAUUCCAGGUGUAGCGGUGAAAUGCGUAGAUAUCUGGAGGAACAUCAGUGGCGAAGGCGACACCCUGGACUCAUACUGACACUGAGGUGCGAAAGCGUGGGGAGCAAACAGG